AACGAACGCUGGCGGCAUGCCUAACACAUGCAAGUCGAACGAGAUCUUCGGGUCUAGUGGCGCACGGGUGCGUAACGCGUGGGAAUCUGCCCUUUGGUUCGGAAUAACAGUUGGAAACGACUGCUAAUACCGGAUGAUGACGAAAGUCCAAAGAUUUAUCGCCAGAGGAUGAGCCCGCGUAGGAUUAGCUAGCUGGUGUGGUAAAGGCGCACCAAGGCGACGAUCCUUAGCUGGUCUGAGAGGAUGAUCAGCCACACUGGGACUGAGACACGGCCCAGACUCCUACGGGAGGCAGCAGUGGGGAAUAUUGGACAAUGGGUGAAAGCCUAAUCCAGCAAUGCCGCGUGAGUGAUGAAGGCCUUAGGGUUGUAAAGCUCUUUUACCCGGGAUGAUAAUGACAGUACCGGGAGAAUAAGCUCCGGCUAACUCCGUGCCAGCCGCCGCCGUAA
rnacentral:rRNA from 1 species